rnacentral:rRNA from 1 species
CCUACGGGGGGCAGCAAUUAGGAAUCUUGCGCAAUGGGCGAAAGCCUGACGCAGCGACGCCGCGUGCGGGAUGAAGGCCUUCGGGUCGUAAACCGCUUUUCUCAGGGAAGAAGGAUGUGACGGUACCUGAGGAAUAAGCCCCGGCUAACUACGUGCCAGCAGCCGCGGUAAUACGUAGGGGGCGAGCGUUGUCCGAAGUUACUGGGCGUAAAGCGCGCGUAGGCGGCCAUUUAAGUCUGGGGUGAAAGGUUCAGCGCUCAACGUGAACAGUGCCUUGGAUACUGGGUGGCUUGAGUGUGGGAGAGGGGAGCGGAAUUCCUGGUGUAGCGGUGAAAUGCGUAGAUAUCAGGAGGAACACCGAUGGCGAAGGCAGCUCCCUGGCCUGACACUGACGCUGAGGCGCGAAAGCGUGGGGAGCGAACGGGAUUAGAUACCCCAGU